rnacentral:rRNA from 1 species
CCUACGGGAGGCUGCAGUGGGGAAUAUUGGGCAAUGGGCGCAAGCCUGACCCAGCAACGCCGCGUGAAGGAAGAAGGCUUUCGGGUUGUAAACUUCUUUUGACAGGGACGAAGCUAGUGACGGUACUUGACGAAUAGGCAACGGCUAAUAACGCGCCAGCAGCCGCGGCAAUACGAAGGUGGCAAGCGUUAUCCGGAUUUAUUGGGUGUAAGGGGCGUGUAGGCGGGACUGCAAGUCAGAUGUGAAAACCACGGGCUCAACCUGUGGCCUGCAUAUGAUACUGUAGUUCUUGAGUACUGGAGAGGCAAACGGAAUUCCUAGUGUAGCGGUGAAAUGCGUAGAUAUUAGGAGGAACACCAGUGGCGAAGGCGGUCUGCUGGACAGCAACUGACGCUGAGGCGCGAAGGCGUGGGGAGCAAACAGGAUUAGAUACCCGAGUAGUC